AUUCCUACGGGGCGCAGCAGUGGGGAAUAUUGCACAAUGGGGGAAACCCUGAUGCAGCGACGCCGCGUGAAGGAAGAAGUAUUUCGGUAUGUAAACUUCUAUCAGCAGGGAAGAAAAUGACGGUACCUGACUAAGAAGCCCCGGCUAACUACGUGCCAGCAGCCGCGGUAAUACGUAGGGGGCAAGCGUUAUCCGGAUUUACUGGGUGUAAAGGGAGCGUAGUCGGCGCAGCAAGUCAGAAGUGAAAGCCCGGGGCUCAACUCCGGGUCUGCUUUUGAAACUGUUGAACUCGAUUGCAGGAGAGG
rnacentral:rRNA from 1 species